GAUGAAGAACGUAGCGAAAUGCGAUAAGUAAUGUGAAUUGCAGAAUUCAGUGAAUCAUCGAAUCUUUGAACGCACCUUGCACUCCUUGGUAUUCCGAGGAGUACGCCUGUUCGAGUGUUAUGAAGCUCUCAAAACGCAAUUGGCUUAAAACCUGAUUGUUGUUUUGGAUUUGAACUUUGCCGUGUUAUAACGGCUGGUUUUAAAAGUAUUAGCUGGUACUAGAACGAAUUGGUUCUACUCAACGUGAUAAUUAUCUGAUCGUUGAGGACAUUCCUUUCACGAGGAAUGGCCAUAGUAAAUUCAAUGGACUGCUUCUAAUCUGGUUUUAAUUCUUUAUUGGAUUAACCACUUUUCAAAUCUGACCUCGAAUCAGGUGGGACUACCCGCUGAACUUAAGCAUAUCAAUAAGCGGAGGA
rnacentral:misc_RNA from 1 species